rnacentral:rRNA from 1 species
UACGUAGGGUGCAGGCGUUAAUCGGAAUUACUGGGCGUAAAGCGUGCGCAGGCGGUCUUUUAAGUCAGAUGUGAAAUCCCCGGGCUUAACCUGGGAACUGCGUUUGAAACUGUCGGGCUUGAGGCCGGGAGGGGGUAGCGGAAUUCCCAGUGUAGCGGUGAAAUGCGUAGAUAUUGGGAGGAACACCGGUGGCGAAGGCGGCUACCUGGACCGGUUCUGACGCUGAUGCGCGAAAGCGUGGGUAGCAAACAGG